GAUGAACGCUGGCGGCGUGCUUAACACAUGCAAGUCGAACGGUGAAGGCGGAGCUUGCUCUGCUGGAUCAGUGGCGAACGGGUGAGUAACACGUGAGCAAUCUGCCCCUGACUCUGGGAUAAGCGCUGGAAACGGCGUCUAAUACUGGAUACGAGCUGCGAAGGCAUCUUCAGCAGCUGGAAAGAACUUCGGUCAGGGAUGAGCUCGCGGCCUAUCAGCUUGUUGGUGAGGUAACGGCUCACCAAGGCGUCGAUGGGUAGCCGGCCUGAGAGGGUGACCGGCCACACUGGGACUGAGACACGGCCCAGACUCCUACGGGAGGCAGCAGUGGGGAAUAUUGCACAAUGGGCGAAAGCCUGAUGCAGCAACGCCGCGUGAGGGACGACGGCCUUCGGGUUGUAAACCUCUUUUAGCAGGGAAGAAGCGAAAGUGACGGUACCUGCAGAAAAAGCGCCGGCUAACUACGUG
rnacentral:rRNA from 1 species